UACGGGGGGGGCAAGCGUUGUUCGGAAUUACUGGGCGUAAAGGGCUCGUAGGCGGCCAACUAAGUCGGACGUGAAAUCCCCAGGCUCAACCUGGGAACUGCGUCCGAUACUGGAUGGCUUGAAUCCGGGAGAGGGAUGCAGAAUUCCAGGUGUAGCGGUGAAAUGCGUAGAUAUCUGGAGGAAUACCGGUGGCGAAGGCGGCAUCCUGGACCGGCAUUGACGCUGAGGCACGAAAGCGUGGGUAGCAAACAGG
rnacentral:rRNA from 1 species